rnacentral:rRNA from 1 species
GAUGAACGCUGGCGGCGUGCUUAACACAUACAAGUCGAACGGAAAGGCUCCUGCUUGCAGGGGUACUCUAGUGGCGAACGGGUGAGUAACACGUGGGUGAUCUUCCCUGCACUUCGGGAUAAGCCUGGGAAACUGGGUCUAAUACCGGAUAGGACCACAUUUUGGAUGGUGUGGUGGAAAGUUUUUCGGUGUGGGAUGAGCUCGCGGCCUAUCAGCUUGUUGGUGGGGUAAUGGCCUACCAAGGCGUCGACGGGUAGCCGGCCUGAGAGGGUGUACGGCCACAUUGGGACUGAGAUACGGCCCAGACUCCUACGGGAGGCAGCAGUGGGGAAUAUUGCACAAUGGGCGCAAGCCUGAUGCAGCGACGCCGCGUGGGGGAUGACGGCCUUCGGGUUGUAAACUCCUUUCGCUAGGGACGAAGCGCAAGUGACGGUACCUGGAGAAGAAGCACCGGCUAACUACGUG